CAGCCGCCGCGGGAAUACGAAGGGGGCUAGCGUUGCUCGGAAUUACUGGGCGUAAAGCGUGCGUAGGCGGUUUGUUAAGUCUGCUGUGAAAUCCCCGGGCUCAACCUGGGAAUGGCAGUGGAUACUGGCAAGCUAGAGUGUGUCAGAGGAUGGUGGAAUUCCCGGUGUAGCGGUGAAAUGCGUAGAGAUCGGGAGGAACAUCAGUGGCGAAGGCGGCCAUCUGGACAACACCGACGCUGAGGCACGAAAGCGUGGGGAGCAAACAGGAUUAGAUACCCCUGUAGUCCCUGUCUCUUAUACA
rnacentral:rRNA from 1 species